rnacentral:rRNA from 1 species
GAUAUUUGGUAGAGACUGUUGAAGCCACCUGGUCCCAGCAGACCCCAGAAAACGGCCACAUUCACUGGUGCUGGAACAAAGUCGUUAAGGGUGAAGCCUGGUGCCAGAUGUGU